rnacentral:lncRNA from 10 species
GCUGAGCACAAUGUAGGCGCUCUAAGACUAAUGAAAGAAUCAAAUCAGGUGUGUGAGUGAUUCAGCAAGAAGUUGAAUUAGAGCCAGCUGCUUCGUCUGAGUUGGGUUAAGUCAGAGGGGGAGGGUUGAUAUUGGGUAAUCAGAACAAAACGAGCUGGAGGGCCAGCCACCUGCUUAGUCGGAGUAAGAAUGCCUGCAGAGACCUGGACCAGAGUGGGCAGAAUGGAGGGCCUAAAUAGUGUUCCUUGGAGAGAAAAUUACCCUGGGAAUGAAUAAACAAGAGCAAUGCAAAUGUUUCUUUUACAUUAGAUUCUUGCAGCCCUGGAAAUCCUAAAUAAUAAUCAUGGCAAUACUACAUUUAUAAGACUAAAAGAUAGGAACUCAAGAAAAAUUUGGUCAUAGCAGUUGGUGAAAAAGUGAAUUUAAGAGAAGUGACAAAAAGAACUACUUGGGAGUGCUGAUAGUUGUUUUAAUAGGAACAACUUUGGUUCAACUUUAACUGCAAAUUGCCUGUUUUCAGAAGCAGCUCAAAUAUCAGAUCAAGUUAAUUUAGUUGGACUCCUGUCCCAUGCUUGAAAGUUUCUUCAUUGGAAAAGAUAUCCACGACUGUUACAGAUGCUUCGUGGAGGUUCAAAAAGACUACAGAUCAAGGCCAGUGACCUUCUACACAUGGUGGACACUCCAGCCUCUGCUCAAUCUCCAUCCACACUUAAAGGAAAUAGCCAACUCUUGGCCAACCUUCAGGCCUGGGAAGAGGCUCAAGCAGACACUGAAGACGGACUUAAGGCUAUACGAUGUCCGGAAGUGGUGGGUUCUUGGUCUCACUGACUUCAAAAAUGAAGACGAAGACGUGGACUCUGGCGUGAACCCAGGAUGAAGGAGUGUUUCGACUCAUCUGACUCAUUAUGCCUUCUUUGCCCUGGAUCUUACACAGAAAUGCUCUCCAUACCUUGCCACUGCUGCUGGGAAGGAACAGGGGAGGAGUGACAUUGAGAUUCAAGACUAUUUUUCCUACCUCUUCAGUGCCUCUUUCAGCCAUAUGAAGUUAAAACCAGGUCUCAUUCUGUCAUUGAGGCUGAAGUGCAGUAGCACAAUCUCAGCUCACUGCAGCCUCUACCUUCAAGGUUCAAGCAAUUCUUCCACCUCAGCUUCCUGAGUAGCUGGGACUACAGGGGAGAAGAGGAGAGUAAAAGUGAAGAAGAAAGAGGCAAAACAAGUGACUAGACCACACGCUGAACAAGUUGUAGCUCUCAUUUACUUUUCAGAGAAUGUAAAAUGUUACAACUGCUUUGGAUAACAGUUUGGCAAUUUCUUUAAAAGUUAAGCAUAUAUAUAUAUAUAUAUAUAUAUAUAUAAUCAUAUAAUCUAGCCAUUUCACACAUCAGAAUUUACCCUCAUCCCCAAAUAAAAGCACAAAGAUGUGAAUGCCCAUAGCAGCUGCAUGUGUAAUAACUCAAAACUAUAAAAAACUCAAACACUCAUCAACAGUGAAUAAUUAAACAAAUUGUUUACAUUGCAAAAACAUUAUCAGUUGAAAGGAAUGAGCUACUGGUAGCAGCAACAAGGUACACAAAUCUAGAAAUAAUUAUGCUGAGGAAGAGAAGCCAGAAAAAUAUAAUAUAUAUUAUAUUAUCUCAUAUAUAUUAAAGAAUAGAGAAUGCAAACUAAUCUAUAGUGACAGAAAACAAAUCAGUGGCAAUCUGGGAAUGAGGGUAAGGGGUAAGAGGAAGGGAUUAAAAUGGGGCAUGAGUAAAAUUUUGGAAGUGAUAAGUAUAUUUAUUAUCUUGACUGGUUAUGGUUUUACAGAUACAUACUUAACGGUGAAAACUGGCAGAUUGUACAUUUUAAUAUGCAUAGUUUAUGAAAUGUCAAUUAUAUCUCAAUAAAUAUUAAGAUUAUAUAAGAAUAAUCUAGAGAAAUAAAACAUUUUUAAAAAAAUUAUAGUAAGAGUUGUUCUCUAACCAUUGUAGUUAAUCAGUUUUACUAAAGAAUAACCACAUAUAAAACCUUGUUCCCUUAUUUACAGAAAGUUUCUCCCGUACAGUUUGUACACUGUCUAUUCAUGUGAGCUAAUGCUUUAAAAAUUAACAUAUUAAUUUUCCUAUAUUAUAUGAACCUAGUGUUUUAUCCCAAUAAAUUAAUCAUCACAUUUUCUUUAUAGGUGUUUUUUUGUGGAAAAAAUUUAAUCAACCCAUAUCAUUUUUGUGUGCGAUCUUUCCUUAGUGAACAUUAAAUCUAAUCAUUUGUUAUUUGCAUUUGAAGUAAUUAUUUUAACAUGGGCUCUUUCCUAAGCACUUUGAAAAUUAGUCCUCUAAAGCCUUUUGUUGUAUAUAACUUUCUCUCUUGUGUUUUGUAUAAUUAUUAUUAUAUAGUAGUAUAAUUUAAAGGGGAAAUGUGCAAUAAACCCAUAUGCUUUAUUAUUAAAAGUAGGUACUGUAAGUUUUACUCCUAUGCCAAUUGGAUGGAAGAUCAAGAGUUGUGAUGAUCGGGAGGCUGAGGCAGGAGAAUGGCAUGAACCAGGGGGGCAGAGCUUGCGGUGAGCCGAGAUCGCACCACUGCACUCCAGCCUGGGUGACAGAGCGAGACUGUGUCUCAAAAAAUUAAAAAAUAAUAAUAAAAUAAAAUAAUAAAAAAAGAGUUGUGAUGAUCAUUUUCAGUUUUUAGUUUAACUGAAGAUAACAGAAACAGUCCAGAAUGGUCAAACUUUGACAUUUAUUAAAACAUUUAGAGACACUAAAACAUACAAACAAUUUUUGGUGGUUAAGACCAUGUGCUCUGGAAUAAGAAAUUGGUAUUUAAAUUCUUUCUAUUUACUGUUACAUUUAAGGCUUUGUUUAAAUGUUUAUGUGUAAAAAGAUCAAAAGCACUUUCAUAUAUUUCUUUAAAUAAUGUAUGCCAUUCAAUUUUUGCCGAAAGAGAUAAUAAAUCAGAGCAGACAAUGAAGA